CGGCGGACGGGUGAGUAACACGUGGAUAACCUACCUAUAAGACUGGGAUAACUUCGGGAAACCGGAGCUAAUACCGGAUAAUAUAUUGAACCGCAUGGUUCAAUAGUGAAAGACGGUUUUGCUGUCACUUAUAGAUGGAUCCGCGCCGCAUUAGCUAGUUGGUAAGGUAACGGCUUACCAAGGCAACGAUGCGUAGCCGACCUGAGAGGGCGAUCGGCCACACUGGAACUGAGACACGGUCCAG
rnacentral:rRNA from 1 species